AUUGAACGCUGGCGGCAGGCCUAACACAUGCAAGUCGAGCGGAUGAAGGGAGCUUGCUCCUGGAUUCAGCGGCGGACGGGUGAGUAAUGCCUAGGAAUCUGCCUGGUAGUGGGGGAUAACGUCCGGAAACGGGCGCUAAUACCGCAUACGUCCUGAGGGAGAAAGUGGGGGAUCUUCGGACCUCACGCUAUCAGAUGAGCCUAGGUCGGAUUAGCUAGUUGGUGGGGUAAAGGCCUACCAAGGCGACGAUCCGUAACUGGCCUGAGAGGAUGAUCAGUCACACUGGAACUGAGACACGGUCCAGACUCCUACGGGAGGCAGCAGUGGGGAAUAUUGGACAAUGGGCGAAAGCCUGAUCCAGCCAUGCCGCGUGUGUGAAGAAGGUCUUCAGAUUGUAAAGCACUUUAAGUUGGGAGGAAGGGCAGUAAGUUAAUACCUUGCUGUUUUGACGUUACCAACAGAAUAAGCACCGGCUAACUUCGUG
rnacentral:rRNA from 1 species